rnacentral:rRNA from 1 species
GAGCGGUACAGAGAAACUUGCUUCUCUUGAGAGCGGCGGAGGGUGAAUAAUGCCUAGGAAUCUGCCUGGUAGUGGGGGAUAACGUUCGGAAACGGACGCUAAUACCGCAGACGUCCUACGGGAGAAAGCAGGGGACCUUCGGGCCUUGCGCUAUCAUAUGAGCCUAGGUCGGAUUAGCUAGUUGGUGAGGUAAUGGCUCACCAAGGCGACGAUCCGUAACUGGUCUGAAAGGAUGAUCAGUCACACUGGAACUGAGACACGGUCCAAACUCCUACGGGAGGCAGCAGUGGGGAAUAUUGGACAAUGGGCGAAAGCCUGAUCCAGCCAUGCCGCGUGUGUGAAGAAGGUCUUCGGAUUGUAAAGCACUUUAAGUUGGGAGGAAGGGCAGUUACCUAAUACGUGAUUGUUUUGACGUUACCG